rnacentral:misc_RNA from 1 species
AAAAAAGAGUUUUGUUUUGCUAUUUUGACUUAGUUGAGUAACCAGGGGUCUUCAUGCACCCCAUGUUGACACUCAGGCCAAAAAUUAAGCAGAAUAUGAGCAGUGCUAGUAGCCACCUAGGGCUGUGUUGAAUUGAGUAACCGGGGGUAGCCACCAUAAACUGGUCUAUCUUUGUGUCAAAAGGUCUAUGACACUCUGGGCAAGUCUAAAAGUGUUGAAUAACUUAAAAGCACUUCAAUUUCCUAUCGCUGGGUAAAAUUGUGCGAAAUUUGUGACUUGACAGGUUAGCUGAUGAUUCUUUAUGCAUUGACUUAAGCUAUUUUGGAACUAAAUUGUGUGGAUAUUUUGAAAAUACUCAAGUGUUGUGUUUUAUGUUGAUAAGAACUCUUAAAAUCGAUUAUUUAUUAUAUAAGAAUUGAGAAUUACUAAUUAUGUUAUGUUUAUUGUGUCUUUUAGUGUUUUGCAUCAAGAAUGGAUGAGGAGACCUAUGUGACUGGAUGUUAGUUGUUAUUGAUUGAUAGAUUUGGGUUAUGCUUGAGGACAAGCAUUCGAUUAGUGUAGAGGAAUUUGAUAAUGUGCAUAAUUGGUAUAUAUUUUAUUGGUUUUGCUUGAUAUUUUGGGAAAAUAUUGAAAUUAAUAUGUUGAAAUUUAUUUGAUUUCGUGUUUCUUUGGCUAGGUGAUAAUGAAUGAUUGCAAAAGUGAGAUUUUGGAUGCUUUUCGUGAAUAUUUGAACUGUUGGCUAGAAUUUUGGAUGUUAAGGGCCAAUUUCCAUAAUUUGUCCAUUGAGCCAUGCCCACGGCUUAGGUUGUGCAGAUACAAAGCAGAGCCAGAGUCAAUUGCAUUACUGAAGAUUUUAUUUUAAUUGACUUCAAGCCUAAUUUUGGGAGGAAUGUAUUUUAAAUAGGACUUUUGAUUGGGGAAAUUAGGAAGAAUAAGUUUUAUGCCUACUUUUUCUCUCUUUUCCAAAGUUAGUUAGAAUUCUCCCUUUAUUAGGACUUCUUAUGUUUUAUAUAAGGAAAAAACGCAGGUUUUAGGAGAGCGAAAAAUUACAUAAUUCCUUUUAUUUCUCUUUUGCUCAUUUUUAAACCAUGUGUGGCUAAUUCUUCUUUGAUCUAAUAAAGGUUAAUUAAAGUCAAGGUUCA